rnacentral:rRNA from 1 species
AGUGAACGCUGGCGGUAGGCCUAACACAUGCAAGUCGAACGGCAGCACCGUAAGAGCUUGCUCUUACGGGUGGCGAGUGGCGGACGGGUGAGGCAUACAUCGGAAUCUACUUUUUCGUGGGGGAUAACGUAGGGAAACUUACGCUACUACCGCAUACGACCUACGGGUGAAAGCAGGGGAUCUUCGGACCUUGCGCGAUUGAAUGAGCCGAUGUCGGAUUAGCUAGUUGGCGGGGUAAAGGCCCACCAAGGCGACGAUCCGUAGCUGGUCUGAGAGGAUGAUCAGCCACACUGGAACUGAGACACGGUCCAGACUCCUACGGGAGGCAGCAGUGGGGAAUAUUGGACAAUGGGCGCAAGCCUGAUCCAGCAAUGCCGCGUGGGUGAAGAAGGCCUUCGGGUUGUAAAGCCCUUUUGUUGGGAAAGAAAAGCAGCAGGUUAAUACCCCGCUGUUCUGACGGUACCCAAAGAAUAAGCACCGGCUAACUUCGUG